AUGAAAGUGAGAGGGAUCUUUCACACUUUCUUAUAUUCCCAUUCUUAUUACUGAGAAUGUUGCAUAGUCAAAUAUGGAUUUCGCUAUCUCGCUACCAUACUGCGAAAGGUAGUAACAGGAUUGUUGACAAGACUAUUGAAUUUGAGCAAGUUGAUAGAGAAAGAAACUGGUACAUACUUUACAAAUUAUCAAUUAUUCCAAUUUAUUUUCCCAUUUUUGAACAUGAUGAUAUGAGCAUGGAAUUAUUUGUAGGGAUGACCAAAUUAUAUUUAAUGGGCUUUUGUUGUACCUGGGCGGCAUGUAUGUUAAAGGGGGUGAUCAUCUGCCAUUGUGGAGGACUGAUGGGAUAGUAUUGACAGCUUUGCUUCAUGCCGGACCGGUGGAGUUCCUCUACUACUGGCUACACCGGGC
rnacentral:lncRNA from 1 species